rnacentral:misc_RNA from 1 species
GAUGAAGAACGUAGCGAAAUGCGAUAAGUAAUGUGAAUUGCAGAAUUCCGUGAAUCAUCGAAUCUUUGAACGCACAUUGCGCCCCCUGGUAUUCCGGGGGGCAUGCCUGUCCGAGCGUCAUUGCAACCUUCAAGCGCGGCUUGUGUGUUGGGUCUCGUCCCCUGUGGACGGGCCCGAAAGGCAGUGGCGGCGUCCCGACAUGGUGCCCGAGCGUAUGGGAAUCCUCUUCCGCUCGAAUCGGCCCAUGCGGCGCUGGUCGUAACCAAAUUUUUUACCGGUUGACCUCGGAUCAGGUAGGGAUACCCGCUGAACUUAAGCAUAUCAAUAAGCGGAGGA